GGAGAGAUGCCUGAGAGGCCGAAAGGAACAGUUUGCUAAACUGUCGUACUGGCAACGGUACCGAGGGUUCGAAUCCCUCUCUCUCCGCAA
rnacentral:tRNA from 1 species